rnacentral:rRNA from 1 species
AGUGAACGCUGGCGGCGUGCUUAACACAUGCAAGUCGAACGAGAACGGGUUAUAGCUUGCUAUAAUUGUCAGCUAAGUGGUGCACGGGUGAGUAAUGUAUAGGUAAUAUGCCUCUUACUAAGGGAUAACAAAUGGAAACGUUUGCUAAUACCUUAUACUCCUUAUUAACAGAAGUUAAUAAGGGAAAGAUUUAUUGGUAAGAGAUUAGCCUGUAUUGUAUCAGUUAGUUGGUGGGGUAAUGGCUUACCAAGACUAUGACACAUAACUGGUUUGAGAGGAUGAUCAGUCGCACUGGAACUGAGACACGGUCCAGACUCCUACGGGAGGCAGCAGUGGUGAAUAUUGCACAAUGGACGAAAGUCUGAUGCAGCAACGCCGCGUGGAGGAUGACACAUUUCGGUGCGUAAACUCCUUUUAUAUGAGAAGAUAAUGACGGUAUUAUAUGAAUAAGCACCGGCUAACUCCGUGCCAGCCGCCGCGGUAA